AUCUCCAAUCAAGCAAGAGGACCCGCUGAAUUUAAGCAUAUAAGUAAGCGGAGGAAAAGAAACUAACAAGGAUUCCCUCAGUAAGGGCGACUGAAGCGGGAAGAGCUCACAGUGUGAAUCUGCACUCUAGUAGUGCCGAAUUGUGGUCUGUAGAAGUUUGUGUUUGGCCGGCCGGGUUAAGUCCCUUGGAAAAGGGCAGCAGAGAGGGUGAGACUCCCGUUCUUGCCUGGGUUUGGCCAUUUGACACUUACUUUCAACGAGUCGAGUUGUUUGGGAUUGCAGCUCAAAGUGGG
rnacentral:rRNA from 16 species